ACUUCUCUUCUUCCAGCACUCCAGCCCUCUCUGUGGCCCUGGGACCUCAUUUGGCAGGCUGUUGGCUCACCCCAGAGUGGCAGAUAAGAGUUGUGAGUGCGCACAGCCCAUUAAAAGCUGUUCAGAUCUGCCUACCUUGGGGCAUUUUGAGGCAGAUCUCCUUGGAGGAGUCUCUGAUUCCAGACCAAUGGGUUGUUUCCAAUUUCUGGAUACUAUGAAUAGAGCAGCAAUGAACAUGGCUGACCAAGUGGUUCUGUGGUGUAGGAUACCAUUUCCUGUUGCAUGCAAGAUAUAGGACUCCCAGCUACUUCUCCAGCACCAUGUCUGUCUGCCUGCCGCCAUGUCUCACCAUAAUGAUAAUGGACUGAAUUUCUGAAACUGUAAGCCAUACCAGUUAAAUGUUUACCUUUAUAAAAGUUGCCAUGGACAUGGUGUCUCUUCUCAGCAAUAGAAACCCCAACUAAGACAAUGCCCAAGAGUGUAAUGCCUGGAUCUUGAGGUAGAUCAGUGCCCAUCUUCCUGAGGAGCUGUCACACGAAAUCCAUAGUGACUGUACAAGUUUGCAGUCCUAACAACAAUGGACGAGUGUUCACCCCUUCACCACAUCCUUGCCAGCAGGAGCUGUCAUUUGCCUUAUUCAUCUUGGUCAUUCUGAUGGGUGUUAAGAGGAAAGAGGACGGGCGUGGUUUUGAUUUGCAUUUCCCUGUUGAUUAAGGAUGUUGAACAUUUCUUGAAGUGUCUCUCAGCCAUCUGAGUUUUGUCUUUUGAGAAUUCUCUGUUUAAAUCCAUACCCCAUUUUUAAAUUGUAUUGUUUUUCUUGAUAUCCAGUUUUUGAGUUCUUUAUCUGUAUUAGUUAUUAGUCCUCAAUUAUAUAUGUAAUUGGUAAAAACAAAACAAAACAAAACAACCCCCCCCUUUUCUCAUUCUGUAGGCUGUUGCUUUUCUGAAUGGUGUCCCUUGCUGUGCAGAAACUUUUCAGUUUCAUAAGGUUCCAUUUAUUAAUUGUUGAUCUUAGUGCCUGUGCUAAUGGUUUUCCAUUCAGAAAGCUUUUUUUUUGUCCCAAUGAGUUCAAGGCUAUUCCCCACUUUCUCUUUUAUCAGAUUCAGCGUCUCUCUCUCUCUCUCUCUCUCUCUCUCUCUCUCUCUCUCUCUCUCUCUCUGUGUGUGUGUGUGUGUGUGUGUGUUUUAGAUCUUUGGUCCAUUUGCAGUUGAGUUUUGUUCAGGGUAAUAAAGGUGGAUCUGUUUGCAUUCUUCUAUUCUACAUGCAGCCAUCCAGUUUGCACAGCACCAUUUGUUGAAGAUGC
rnacentral:lncRNA from 1 species